rnacentral:rRNA from 1 species
AUUGAACGCUGGCGGCAGGCUUAACACAUGCAAGUCGAACGAGUGGCGGACGGGUGAGUAAUGUCUGGGAAACUGCCUGAUGGAGGGGGAUAACUACUGGAAACGGUAGCUAAUACCGCAUACCAUCGGAUGUGCCCAGAUGGGAUUAGCUAGUAGGUGGGGUAAUGGCUCACCUAGGCGACGAUCCCUAGCUGGUCUGAGAGGAAGACCAGCCACCCUGGAACUGGGACACGGUCCAGACUCCUACGGGAGGCAGCAGUGGGGAAUAUUGCACAAUGGGCGCAAGCCUGAUACAGCCAUGCCGCGUGUGUGAAGAAGGCCUUCGGGUUGUAAAGUACUUUCAGCGAGGAGGCGUUACUCGCAGAAGAAGCACCGGCUAACUCCGUGCCAGCAGCCGCGGUAAUUC